rnacentral:rRNA from 1 species
CUCCUACGGGAGACAGCAGUGGGGAAUAUUGGACAAUGGGGGAAACCCUGAUCCAGCGACGCCGCGUGUGUGAAGAAGGCCUGCGGGUUGUAAAGCACUUUCAGUGGGGAGGAACGACUUGAGGUUAAUAGCCUUGAGUAUUGACGCUACCCACACGAAGAAGCACCGGCUAACUCUGUGCCAGCCGCCGCGGUAAUUC